rnacentral:rRNA from 1 species
UACGAAGGGGGCUAGCGUUGUUCGGAAUUACUGGGCGUAAAGCGUGCGCAGGCGGCUUCUCAAGUCAGGGGUGAAAUCCCCGGGCUCAACCUGGGAAUGGCAUUUGGGACUGCAAGGCUGGAGUGCGGCAGAGGAGACUGGAAUUCCUGGUGUAGCAGUGAAAUGCGUAGAUAUCAGGAGGAACACCGAUGGCGAAGGCAGGUCUCUGGGCUGACACUGACGCUCAUGCACGAAAGCGUGGGGAGCAAACAGG